UGGGCCUUUUAAACCAGUCUGUCUAACUCC
rnacentral:piRNA from 1 species